rnacentral:rRNA from 1 species
CGGCCGGCGUACAGGUGCUGCAUGGCUGUCGUCAGCUCGUGGCUGUGAAGUGUUGGGUUAAGUCCCGCAACCGAGCGCAACCCCUGCUGCUGUUGCCACCACGAGAGUGGGACUCAGGCGGGACCGCCGGUGACAAACCGGAGGAAGGUGGGGACGACGUCAAGUCAUCAUGGCCCUUAUGUCCUGGGCUACACACGUGCUACAAUGGCCGGUACAGAGCGCAGCGAGGCCGCGAGGCGGAGCGAAUACGCUUAAAGCCGGUCCCAGUACGGAUUGGAGUCUGCAACCCGACUCCAUGAAGUUGGAAUCGCUAGUAAUCGCGCAUCAGCAUGGCGCGGUGAAUACGUUCCCGGGCCUU